AGCGAACGCUGGCGGCAGGCCUAACACAUGCAAGUCGAACGAACUCUUCGGAGUUAGUGGCGGACGGGUGAGUAACACGUGGGAACGUGCCUUUUGGUUCGGAAUAACUCAGGGAAACUUGUGCUAAUACCGAAUGUGCCCUUCGGGGGAAAGAUUUAUCGCCAUUAGAGCGGCCCGCGUCUGAUUAGCUAGUUGGUGAGGUAACGGCUCACCAAGGCAACGAUCAGUAGCUGGUCUGAGAGGAUGACCAGCCACACUGGGACUGAGACACGGCCCAGACUCCUACGGGAGGCAACAGUGGGGAAUCUUGCGCAAUGGGCGAAAGCCUGACGCAGCCAUGCCGCGUGAAUGAUGAAGGUCUUAGGAUUGUAAAAUUCUUUCACCGGGGACGAUAAUGACGGUACCCGGAGAAGAAGCCCCGGCUAACUUCGUG
rnacentral:rRNA from 1 species